AAAAGUGAACAGAACCAGCCACGACCGUCGUUCUCGAAUAACCCCACAGCGAUGUGUUGCCAUGAGGCCCUUCCUUGGGUCUCAGUGGUUCUGGAGAAUGAAUAUCGUACAAUCCUUGAUAGGAAGUUUCUUUCCCGUUGAUACUACGGGUCCUCUUCAUUGAGGGCGAUGGGAAGGGAAUGUCGAUGAUGGGAUACAUUAAAUCAAGUUACAUGGACAGAAUACCCCCUUUGUCCCCGUUCUCUUUCAUGGUGAAAAGAGCUGGGUGACGGGGUUGGAAUCGGCAAUGCGUUGGCGUUGGCGUUGGCGUUGAUAUCGGAGCCUAGUGGGAAAAACGUUGUGCGUGUUUGAUGAUCACAAUUCCAUGUCUGACUAUUUGUUUUGUAUGGUCUGGAGUGAAGAUGCGAUUUUCAUGCUCUGCAGAGCCAUGUGUAUCUUUGUCCCGCCUGGCUUGUGGUUGAGCUGUGGUUGAGCAGUCAUCGCCACCGUCAGCCGUGUCUGGUUUUUGUGUGCCUAGAGAGGUGAAGGUAGCCCUGACUGCCUACGAAGUCUGUUGAGGCAAAUAUAGGAUUGAAUAUUUUGGUAUAUGAGCAAAUUGUACAAAAUAUAUAAAUUGUAAUACUAAGUUAAGUGAGGAUAAAUUGGAAAGAAAAUAACUACUGUUAA
rnacentral:sRNA from 1 species